rnacentral:rRNA from 1 species
UGGGGAAUAUUGCACAAUGGGCGCAAGCCUGAUGCAGCCAUGCCGCGUGUAUGAAGAAGGCCUUCGGGUUGUAAAGUACUUUCAGCGGGGAGGAAGGGAGUAAAGUUAAUACCUUUGCUCAUUGACGUUACCCGCAGAAGAAGCACCGGCUAACUCCGUGCCAGCAGCCGCGGUAAUACGGAGGGUGCAAGCGUUAAUCGGAAUUACUGGGCGUAAAGCGCACGCAGGCGGUUGAUUGAGUCAGAUGUGAAAUCCCCGGGCUUAACCCGGGAAUUGCAUCUGAUAAUGGUCAGCUAGAGUCUUGUAGAGGGGGGUAGAAUUCCAUGUGUAGCGGUGAAAUGCGUAAAGAUGUGGAGGAAUCCCGGUGGCGAAGGCGGCCCCCUGGACAAAGACUGACGCUCAGGUGCGAAAGCGGGGGGAGCAAACAGG